UACGUAGGGUGCAAGCGUUAAUCGGAAUUACUGGGCGUAAAGCGUGCGCAGGCGGUUCUAUAAGACAGAUGUGAAAUCCCCGGGCUCAACCUGGGAACUGCAUUUGUGACUGUAGAGCUGGAGUACGGCAGAGGGGGAUGGAAUUCCGCGUGUAGCAGUGAAAUGCGUAGAUAUGCGGAGGAACACCGAUGGCGAAGGCGGCAUCCUGGACCAACACUGACGCUGAGGAGCGAAAGCCAGGGGAGCAAACGGG
rnacentral:rRNA from 1 species